AAACUAUACAUGCAUCGUUAGCAAAGUGAUUCCUAGCAAUUUACAUUUAAUGCACAUGUACUCAUAUAAAAGACUUCUGACGACCAACGUAGUGACUUUGGUGAGGGUACGGCUAUCGAAUGUCAUGAUACCUACCAAAAGUGAAUGUAAGUGGACGCCUUAGUCUUUGUCCCAACUAUCUACAGAUCUGAAAACAUGCAAUUUAAACGAGUGAGUAUAAACUCAGUGAGUGAAUAUAAGAAGAGAACAAGUAACGACAAAUAAUGUUUUAGAAAACAUAAUGCACUUACGAUAAACCAUGCAAUUUAGUCUAAAUUUUUUUUUGGUUAAAACCCCUCAUUUCAAACUUUGAAUAUUUAAUCCCAUAAUGUUACAAGAUCCAUGAUGAACCAUAAAGUUGAAUAGAAUGAAAAUUUCAACAAUGACCAAGCAAGACAAACAAACAGAGGGUUUUCUCGCUGCAGCGAAAAGACAUUCUCAGUUUACAUAUACUUCGGUUUUUCAAGCAUAUCUCCCACUACAUAAGUCCAAUUGACAUAAUUUUUAAGUCAUUAGAAAGAUAAGAGGUUGGGCUACAACUUUGAUAUUUACCACUUUGCCCAAUUCUAAUCAGAAUGUGGUCAAAAUUUUUAUCAAAGUGAAAGCACUGCAUCAGAAUUUUGGAACCACCCAAGAGUUUCUAGUUGCAGCAAGAACCAAGCCAAUGUAACCCCCCCAAUCUGAGAGUUUCUCGCUGCAACGAGAAACAUAGCAAUUUAGUUAAAAGGGAUAUUGUUACAUCAAAAAGUUAUUUUCUUACUGAAAUGAAAAGCAAUUUGGGAGCAAUUAACAAUGCCAACAUACAACACAAUCACAAUUAUUUUCAUAAACUUUCUAUAACAUAUAUACAUAUAUAUGUAUAUACAUACAUCAUCAUGCAUACCAUCCCACUCAGCUCAUGUGCACUCCCUACUUGCAUAUAGUCAGGUCAUCAUCAACUCAUGUGCACUAUCACACCGCACAUAGCUGGAUCAUCAUCAACUCAUAUGGCACUCCCACACCGCACAUAGUUAGGUCAUGAUUAUCACACAAAAGAAGCAUCCAAAGCAUAAUAUACAUAUCAAUAUAAUGUGAUAACGCAUGAACUAUUCAAAUUGCACAUUUCACAAGAUAAAAACAUUUCAUCAAGGGUUUGUUCCCUAAGUAUAUUUUUUUAAAAGCAAAAACAAAUGAAACUUUUAAAUGAUUUAUUUAAACAUGUAGGCACUUCCCAAAACAUUUUGAAAUGCAAGUUCACUCACCGAUAUUUGUUAAAUCUUAGAUCAACUCCAACUUCCACUAAUGCUCCGAAUAAAGAUAUGGGGUCUCGUUGGAACCU
rnacentral:lncRNA from 1 species